rnacentral:rRNA from 1 species
GUCUAUGGCCACACCACCCUGAAUGUGCUGGGUCUCCUCUGAUCUCAGAAGCUAAGCAGGGUUGGGCCUGGUUAGUUCUUGGAUGGGAGAAAAUUAAUUAGGAAACACUGGGCUUAAACA